CCACUGUUGAUGCAUUUUCUGGCUAUCCUUCUCCAGACAACAUCACGGUUAGUGAAGUAGUGAAAUUUCUUGCAAGAUUGAGAAAACCGGCAGAGAGAUUUGCAAUCCAAAUAGGAAAGGAUGAGAUACAGCAUGUCUUCUGAGACAUGCAGGAAGCCAUUCCAGAAUCAACCGAGGAUCACGUGAUAUGUGUUCGUCAAUCAAAUUGAACCUCCCGAUGCAAGCGCAAGAGUUCCAUUCUUGUAUAGCAGGCUGACCUGGGUCAAAUACAAAUACGUAUACGUAUUUGAAAAUGUACUUAAAUACAUAUUUGAAGUAUUUUCAAAUACAUUUACACAUUAAAUACUUUGUAUUUGAUUUAUUUAAAUAAUUUUCAUGGGAAACCAAAUUCUUUCCGAAAUAGUAUUUAGAGUCUUUUUAAAAAUACAUAAAAAUACAAAUUAAUUUAAAAAUAUUAAAAAAUAUUUCUGUGAUAGACAACAGAAAUGAGCCAGGAACAAUGUAGGCUUCAUAUUGAAGGGGGUAUCCCAGAGCUCUUUGUGAGUGGCCCUCAAUGUGAUGUCAGCGAGUUAUAAUACUGAGGGCACUCCAGGGGAACUACUUUGGGCUAGGGGUUGAAUUUGGAUCAUGGGCAAGGAUAGCCUAUGCUGGCAAUUUUAAAUGACCAAUGCGCUGCCUCUAACAGACAGCUUGUACAUGGGGGUGGGGGUGGCAAACUCAGACUUCUUGAUAAGCUACUUGCCAGUUUAUUUGUUCCCAUGAUAUUUUUAAAGUUAGUGGCCUUUUACUGUAUUUCCUAUUUUUUAUGUUGUCAGAAUAUUCAGCAGCCAUAUGUACAGUUCCAUCUUUUACAUUUUGUAAGAUUAGACACUAAUAAAAUAGAAUUCAGCCGUGCAUAUUCACUAACAAUUAACAAUGGAAAUUGGUACAAUUGGACUGGGGCCGUCAGCAGUCACUUGACACGUUCUCAUCAAAAUACUGUCCUCUAAUUAGACAAAAUGCUCAGCUAUCAGAGCUGAUAGGUUCUCGCAUGUCCAGUGCUUUUCAAGUCUUUCAGCAGCUUGGUGCAAUUGUAAGUGUUGCACCACUGGCCUUAUAUUGGGAAAGCAUUUUCAAAUAAAUCAAAUACUUUGUAUUUGAAAAGUCAGUAUUUAUAAUGUUUUUUAAAGACAUAUUUGAAAGUAUUUGCAAAUACAUGCAAAUGCUCCUUAAAUGUAUUUUCAAAUACAUUUUGUAAUUUAAAUACUCCGUAUUUGUAAAUGUAUUUAAAAGUAAUUAAAUAAAUAUCUAUUUGGCCCAGGUCUGAUAGCAGGUCUUUGAAUAUAAUUGUCUCGUUUGUCUAAAAACUACGUUUUGUAAAUGUUUAUCUGUUUAAUAUACACUGUUUUAAGAAUGUAAAAACGUUGUACAUAUAUUUGAAAAGAUGAGUGGCGCUUGCUUUUUAUUUACCAUCACAUUAAAGAUGCUGAUGAUAUCCUGACAAAAUUCAGCUUAUGAUAUGCUGUAAGGAUGCACCCUGCUGUCCCAUGUCAUGGACUCAAACUAUGUAAUUGUGUGGAUGUAUUGCUUCUUGUUUCCAAAAUACUUCAUUAUUUAUUACACAGUCAUUGUUAAUAUUGUACAAAGCUUCAGACAA